GACGCACGCUGGCGGCGUGCCUAAUACAUGCAAGUAGGACGCAGUUGCGAACGGGUGAGUACCGCGUAGGUAACUGCAUAUUCGCGGGGGAUAACUCUUGGAAACGUUAGCUAAUCCCGCAUACUAGUAGAUGGACCUGCGUUGUAUUAGCUAGUAGGUAGGGUAAUGGCCUACCUAGGCGACGAUACCUAGCCGACGUGAGACGGGGAUCGGCAACACUGGGACUGAGACAAGGCCCAGACGCCUACGGGAGGCAGCAGUAGGGAAGCUUCAGGAAUGGGGGGAACCCUGACAGGGCAACGCCGCGUGAGGGAAGAAGGUUUUCGGAUCGUAAAGCUCUGUUGUUAAGGAAGCGGUAGUUAACCAGAAAGGGACGGCUAACUACGUGCCAGCAGCCGCGGUAAUAC
rnacentral:rRNA from 1 species